CAGAAACUCAGAGCAUCACAAUCAUCAUAACUCAGAGAACAGAAGAGCAUCAACAGAACUGAUCUGACUUAGUAAACAUGGACAGACACUUGGUUCUGAUAUUAAACAUUAUUUCAGGUGUGAUGGCUGCAGACCAGAUUUGGCCAAAUAAGGAUGCAAAUGUCAUCAGUACAGAAGGAGAGUCUGUGAGACUGAGUUGCUCAUAUGAUACAAGCAGCAGAUAUGUUACACUUUACUGGUACAGACAGUAUCUUAAUGGAGAACCUCAGUAUUUAAUGUGGAAAGAGGCUCGGGAAUAUAGUGAUACUGGGACUCCAGCUGAUCCUCGCUUUCAGGCGGCUACAUCAGAAACAUCCACUGAACUCACUAUUACUGGUGUAACUCUGUCAGAUUCAGCUCUCUAUUAUUGUGCUCUAAGAGUUGGAGCCCAGUGA